rnacentral:sRNA from 1 species
CGGAAGCGAUGUUCAACUAAGUACGGCACGUCCUGUGCCAACAUUGAACUGAUCCUUCUCCAAGGC